rnacentral:lncRNA from 1 species
AUGUCUUUUUCCCCAGGCCACAGGGACUCUCCUGUCUCUCUCAGCUACUCUCCAACCGUGCCCAGAUUUCAGCUGGAGUCAGUUCCAGACACCCAGGAAUCCCCUACAAACUCACACACCUCACUGAGAUAUUCCCCAGUCUCUCUCAUGUCUUCACCCCCAGCCCAUAGGGACUCUCCUGUCUGUCCCAGCUACUCUCCAACCACGCCCAGAUUUCAGCGGGAGUCAGUUCCAGGCACCCAGGAAUCACCUACAAACUCACCAAUUUCACUGAGUUACUCCCCAGUCUCUCUCAUGUCUUCACCCCCAGCCCUCAGGGACUCUCCUGUCUGUCCCAGCUACUCUCCAACCACGCCCAGAUUUCAGCGGGAGUCAGUUCCAGGCACCCAGGAAUCAGCUACAAACUCACCAAUUUCACUGAGUUACUCCACAGUCUCUCUCAUGUCUUCACCCCCAGCCCUCAGGCACUCUCCUGUCUGUCCCAGCUACUCUCCAACCACACCCAGAUUUCAGCAGGAGUCAGCCUCCUACACCCAGGAAACACCUACAGACUCACAGACCUCACUGAGAUCCUCCCCAGUCUCUCUCAGGUCUUUGCCCUCAGCCCACGGGGACUCUUCUAUCAGUUUCAGCUACUCUCAAGCCAUCUCUAGAUUCCAGCUGGAGUCAGUUCCAGACACCCAGGACACACCACCAAACUCACCAACUUCACCGAGUUCCUCCCCAGUCUCUCUCAUGUUUUCACCCCCAGCCCUCAGGGACUCUUCUCUCUCUCUCAGCUACUCUCCAACCAUCUCCAGAUUUCAGCUGGGGUCAGCUUCCCACACCCAGGAAUCACCUACAAACUCACAGAGCUUACUGCAGCCCUCCCCCAUUUCUUUCACUUCUUCUCCCCCAGCCUUCAGGGACUCUCCGGUGUCUCCCAGCUUCUCUCCCGCCUUCCCCAGAUUUCUGCAGCAGUCAGCCCCAGGCACCCAGGUGAACCCUAGAAACUCACAGGCCUCACGAGAUUAUUUCCCUGUGACCUGUGUCUAUACAGCGAUGGCUCCCACGUAUCCCUCAGUGACCCCGAACCCAUCUCCAUUUACACUCAGGCACUCCCAGGGCCUGACAGCUAUUCCCUGUUACAGUCCUUCAGUUCAAAGGCCUGGCCAAUCUACUAGCCAACAUGACGCGGUUCCCUGGCCAUUUCUCCACAUUUCUGGUGAGGGCCCCACACCCAGCCGCAGAAGAGCCCCUCCUGCAUUCCGUCCUCACACGCAGGCCUGUCCAUCUACUUGCUACUGUCACACUCUCGCCAGCAGAAGAGGCUCCUCUAACGGCCGAUAG